AACGAACGCUGGCGGCAUGCCUAACACAUGCAAGUCGAACGAAGCCUUCGGGCUUAGUGGCGCACGGGUGCGUAACGCGUGGGAAUCUGCCCUUGGGUUCGGAAUAACAGUUAGAAAUGACUGCUAAUACCGGAUGAUGUCUUCGGACCAAAGAUUUAUCGCCCAAGGAUGAGCCCGCGUAGGAUUAGGUAGUUGGUGGGGUAAUGGCCCACCAAGCCGACGGUCCUUAGCUGGUCUGAGAGGAUGAUCAGCCACACUGGGACUGAGACACGGCCCAGACUCCUACGGGAGGCAGCAGCGGGGAAUAUUGGACAAUGGGCGAAAGCCUGAUCCAGCAAUGCCGCGUGAGUGAUGAAGGCCUUAGGGUUGUAAAGCUUUUUUACCAGGGAUGAUAAUGACAGUACCUGGAGAAUAAGCUCCGGCUAACUCCGUGCCAGCCGCCGCAGUAA
rnacentral:rRNA from 1 species